UACGUAGGGUGCGAGCGUUGUCCGGAAUCAUUGGGCGUAAAGAGCGUGUAGGCGGCCCGGUAAGUCCGCUGUAAAAGUCAAAGGCUCAACCUUUGAAUGUCAGUGGAUACUGCCGGGCUAGAGUCCGGAAGAGGCGAGUGGAACUCCUGGUGUAGCGGUGGAAUGCGCAGAUAUCAGGAAGAACACCAACGGCGAAGGCAGCUCGCUAGGACGGUACUGACGCUGAGACGCGAAAGCGUGGGGAGCGAACAGG
rnacentral:rRNA from 1 species